rnacentral:rRNA from 1 species
AUUGAACGCUGGCGGCAGGCUUAACACAUGCAAGUCGAACGGUAGCAGGUAAGUACUUGUACUUAUGCUGACGAGUGGCGGACGGGUGAGUAAUGCUUGGGGAUCUGGCUUAUGGAGGGGAAUAACGACGGGAAACUGUCGCUAAUACCGCGUAGAAUCGAGGGAUGAAAGUGUGGGACCUUCGGGCCACAUGCCAUAGGAUGAACCCAAGUGGGAUUAGGUAGUUGGUAGGGUAAUAGCCUACCAAGCCGACGAUCUCUAGCUGGUCUGAGAGGAUGACCAGCCACACCGGGACUGAGACACGGCCCGGACUCCUACGGGAGGCAGCAGUGGGGAAUAUUGCGCAAUGGGGGGAACCCUGACGCAGCCAUGCCGCGUGAAUGAAGAAGGCCUUCGGGUUGUAAAGUUCUUUCGGUGACGAGGAAGGUUGUUGUGUUAAUAGCGCAACAAAUGACGUAAUCACAGAGAGCCCCGCA